ensembl:snoRNA SNORA70 Small nucleolar RNA SNORA70
CUAUAGCCAAUUAAACAGACUGGGUUCCUUUCCUCCUAGGGCUCUGGUGUGCCACGACUGCAGACAGAAGCCUCCUUGGUAGUGUAGUAAGUAACCUGUUGCUUGUACUAGUGGCCUUAAGGGACCUUGGAGACAGUU